rnacentral:rRNA from 1 species
UAGGGAAUAUUGGGCAAUGGAGGGAACUCUGACCCAGCCAUGCCGCGUGCAGGAUGAAGGCGUUAUGCGUUGUAAACUGCUUUUUAUAUAGGAAGAAAUAGUCCUUGCGAGGAAAGUUGACGGUACUAUAUGAAUAAGCACCGGCUAACUCCGUGCCAGCAGCCGCGGUAAUACGGAGGGUGCAAGCGUUGUCCGGAUUUAUUGGGUUUAAAGGGUGCGUAGGCGGUUUAUUAAGUCAGUGGUGAAAGACGGUCGCUCAACGAUUGCAGUGCCAUUGAUACUGGUAGACUUGAGUAUGAUUGAGGUAGCUGGAAUGGAUAGUGUAGCGGUGAAAUGCAUAGAUAUUAUCCAGAACACCAAUUGCGUAGGCAAGUUACUAAGUCAUAACUGACGCUGAGGCACGAAAGUGUGGGUAUCAAACAGGAUUAGAU